CCUACGGGGGGCAGCAGUAGGGAAUCUUCCACAAUGGGCGAAAGCCUGAUGGAGCAACGCCGCGUGGGUGAAGAAGGUCUUCGGAUCGUAAAACCCUGUUGUUAGAGAAGAAAGUGUGUGAGAGUAACUGUUCACGUUUCGACGGUAUCUAACCAGAAAGCCACGGCUAACUACGUGCCAGCAGCCGCGGUAAUACGUAGGUGGCAAGCGUUAUCCGGAUUUAUUGGGCGUAAAGGGAACGCAGGCGGUCUUUUAAGUCUGAUGUGAAAGCCUUCGGCUUAACCGGAGUAGUGCAUUGGAAACUGGGAGACUGGAGUGCAGAAGAGGAGAGUGGAACUCCAUGUGUAGCGGUGAAAUGCGUAGAUAUAUGGAAGAACACCAGUGGCGAAAGCGGCUCUCUGGUCUGUAACUGACGCUGAGGUUCGAAAGCGUGGGUAGCAAACAGGAUUAGAUACCCCUGUAGUC
rnacentral:rRNA from 1 species